UGUGUCAAAAACGCCUAAGAAUUUACUCAAAUUUUUAAGUUAAAGCUGUUCCUAAACCCUUGGGACUAUGUGAAAAAGCUUGGGCAUUUUGGAAAGGUAACAUUCUAUAUUUUUUAAUACAAAAGUAAGAUUUCCUCUAAGUGUAACUAUCAGAAAGUUAUUCUCUUUUGAACAGACAAAUUUGAAGAUUUUUUUUCUCGCCUAGAUUAAAAAA